AGUGAACGCUGGCGGUAGGCCUAACACAUGCAAGUCGAACGGCAGCACAGGAGAGCAUGCUCUCUGGGUGGCGAGUGGCGGACGGGUGAGGAAUACAUCGGAAUCUACUCUGUCGUGGGGGAUAACGUAGGGAAACUUACGCUAAUACCGCAUACGACCUACGGGUGAAAGCAGGGGACCUUCGGGCCUUGCGCGAUUGAAUGAGCCGAUGUCGGAUUAGCUAGUUGGCGGGGUAAAGGCACACCAAGGCGACGAUCCGUAGCUGGUCUGAGAGGAGGAUCAGCCACACUGGAACUGAGACACGGUCCAGACUCCUACGGGAGGCAGCAGUGGGGAAUAUUGGACAAUGGGCGCAAGCCUGAUCCAGCCAUACCGCGUGGGUGAAGAAGGCCUUCGGGUUGUAAAGCCCUUUUGUUGGGAAAGAAAUCAAGCUGGCUAAUACCCGGUUGGGAUGACGGUACCCAAAGAAUAAGCACCGGCUAACUUCGUGCCAGCAGCCGCGGUAA
rnacentral:rRNA from 1 species